rfam:Triticum aestivum genome assembly, contig: Triticum_aestivum_CS42_TGACv1_scaffold_643563_T_4BL-0.150573_4BS-0.083277
AACUCAAUUGGUAGAGUACAAAGCUCUUAACCUUGUGGACGUGGGUUCAAGCCCCAU